GUAAGGAAUAUUGGUCAAUGGAGGCAACUCUGAACCAGCCAUGCCGCGUGCAGGAAGACGGCCCUCCGGGUUGUAAACUGCUUUUAUUCGGGAAUAAACCUAGAUACGUGUAUUUAGCUGAAUGUACCGAAGGAAUAAGGAUCGGCUAACUCCGUGCCAGCAGCCGCGGUAAUACGGAGGAUCCAAGCGUUAUCCGGAUUUAUUGGGUUUAAAGGGUGCGUAGGCGGCCUGUUAAGUCAGGGGUGAAAGACGGUAGCUCAACUAUCGCAGUGCCCUUGAUACUGAUGGGCUUGAAUGGACUAGAGGUAGGCGGAAUGUGACAAGUAGCGGUGAAAUGCAUAGAUAUGUCACAGAACACCGAUUGCGAAGGCAGCUUACUAUGGUCCUAUUGACGCUGAGGCACGAAAGCGUGGGGAUCGAACAGGAUUAGAUACCCCAGUAGUCC
rnacentral:rRNA from 1 species